rnacentral:lncRNA from 1 species
CAGGAGAAUCAAGUUUAUGGAUAUUUUUGAGGACUAGCUGAUGAAGAGGUAAAUCACGUACUAUCCAUGCCAGCUUAACAACCACCAACAUGAGCACUGAAAUCAAAGGCAAUGUUUGUGAUCAGGAACCACGUGGGCUGUGUAGACCUCAACAAAGCAUAAACAGAGAUGUUUUUACAGUCUCCCUGAAUCCCAGUGGGUGCUGGCAGCCAGAGCUGUCCCCUGAGGUGUGGAAAUCUGGGGCAAUGACCCAGGGCUGUGUUUUGAGGAAAUCCGUUACUGGGGCUCCCAACCACCCCAGCUGGAAUGCAGCUGCCAGUGAGUCAGCAUGGAAACCAGCCCUGAAGGCCACAGCGGUGAGAGCAAAAAGAACAGUGCAGCCAGCUUCACUGGCUGAGCUGCUGGUGGCUGCACUGCACAGGCUGACGUGGUACCUACCCUCUGUUAUUGCAGUAGGAACUCUACAGAGAAAAUCGUGA